GGAGAGGUAGCCAAGCGGCAACGGCAGGAGACUGUAAAUCUCCCGGUGAAAGCCUUCGGCGGUUCGAGUCCGCCCCUCUCCA
rnacentral:tRNA from 1 species